UACGAAGGGGGCUAGCGUUGUUCGGAUUUACUGGGCGUAAAGCGCACGUAGGCGGACUCGUUAAGUCGGGGGUGAAAUCCUGGAGCUCAACUCCAGAACUGCCUUCGAUACUGGACGAUCUUUGAGUCCGGGAAGAGGUGAGUGGAACUCGUAGUGUAGAGGUGGAAAUUCGUAGAUAUUCGCAAGAACACCAGUGGCGAAGGCGGCUCACUGGCCCGGUACUGACGCUGAGGUGCGAAAGCGUGGGGAGCGAACAGG
rnacentral:rRNA from 1 species